AAGUCGUAACAAGGUUUCCGUAGGUGAACCCGCGGAAGGAUCAUUACAGUAUUCUUUUGCCAGCGCUUAACUGCGCGGCGAAAAACCUUACACACAGUGUCUUUUUGAUACAGAACUCUUGCUUUGGUUUGGCCUAGAGAUAGGUUGGGCCAGAGGUUUAACAAAACACAAUUUAAUUAUUUUUACAGUUAGUCAAAUUUUGAAUUAAUCUUCAAAACUUUCAACAACGGAUCUCUUGGUUCUCGCAUCGAUGAAGAACGCAGCGAAAUGCGAUAAGUAAUAUGAAUUGCAGAUUUUCGUGAAUCAUCGAAUCUUUGAACGCACAUUGCGCCCUCUGGUAUUCCAGAGGGCAUGCCUGUUUGAGCGUCAUUUCUCUCUCAAACCCCCGGGUUUGGUAUUGAGUGAUACUCUUAGUCGGACUAGGCGUUUGCUUGAAAAGUAUUGGCAUGGGUAGUACUGGAUAGUGCUGUCGACCUCUCAAUGUAUUAGGUUUAUCCAGCUCGUUGAAUGGUGUGGCGGGAUAUUUCUGGUAUUGUUGGCCCGGCCUUACAACAACCAAACAAGUUUGACCUCAAAUCAGGUAGGAAUACCCGCUGAACUUAA
rnacentral:rRNA from 1 species